rnacentral:rRNA from 1 species
CCUACGGGAGGCAGCAGUGAGGAAUAUUGGACAAUGGGCGCAUGCCUGAUCCAGCCAUGCCGCGUGCAGGAAGAAGCAUCUAUGGUGUGUAAACUGCUUUUGUACGGGAAGAAACACUGCUACGUGUAGCAGCUUGACGGUACCGUAAGAAUAAGGAUCGGCUAACUCCGUGCCAGCAGCCGCGGUAAUACGGAGGAUCCAAGCGUUAUCCGGAAUCAUUGGGUUUAAAGGGUCCGUAGGCGGUUUGGUAAGUCAGUGGUGAAAGCCCAUCGCUUAACGAUGGAACGGCCAUUGAUACUGCCAGACUUGAAUUACUAGGAAGUAACUAGAAUAUGUAGUGUAGCGGUGAAAUGCUUAGAUAUUACAUGGAAUACCAAUUGCGAAGGCAGGUUACUACUAGUUUAUUGACGCUGAUGGACGAAAGCGUGGGGAGCGAACAGGAUUAGAUACCCUGGUAGUCCACGCCGUAAACGAUGGAUACUAGCUGUUCGGGGUAACCUGAGUGGCUAAGCGAAAGUGAUAAGUAUCCCACCUGGGAGUACGUUCGCAGAAUGAAACUUAAAGGAAUUGACGGCUGAGAGNGACGACGACGACGACGAGGAGGAGG